rnacentral:rRNA from 1 species
CCUACGGGUGGCAGCAGUGAGGAAUAUUGGUCAAUGGUCGGGAGACUGAACCAGCCAAGCCGCGUGAGGGAUGAAGGUACAGAGUAUCGUAAACCUCUUUUGUCAGGGAACAAAGGCGGGGACGUGUCCCCGGAUGAGUGUACCUGAAGAAAAAGCAUCGGCUAACUCCGUGCCAGCAGCCGCGGUAAUACGGAGGAUGCGAGCGUUAUCCGGAUUUAUUGGGUUUAAAGGGGGCGCAGGCGGUUUGUUAAGUCAGCGGUCAAAGACGGGGGCUCAACCCCAGCUCGCCGUUGAAACUGGCAGUCUUGAGUGGGAGAGAGGUAUGCGGAAUGCGCGGUGUAGCGGUGAAAUGCAUAGAUAUCGCGAAGAACUCCGAUUGCGAAGGCAGCAUGCCGGCUCCACACUGACGCUGAGGCACGAAAGCGUGGGUAUCGAACAGGAUUAGAUACCCCAGUAGUC